CUUGAGUGUGUUGGAUCAUGAAAGAAAUUCCUAGUUGUACCUACCAUCCAUCAGAGACCCUCAUGAGGAAGACUGGGAAAGGUAUUUGAGGCCUGAGGUAUUCUCUGGAGUUGGUGCUAAUCUCUGCUUACUUUGCUUUGAAUUAAAUCGGCCAGGAAAAAAUCUUGAGUGAAUAUGAAUAUUUAUUCUCUAAUAAGUUCCUACCUUAGUCUCCACAAAUCUGAUUAGGCAGAAGAGAAUACGUUUUCAUAAUACAAUUACUGAUCUGCUACCUUGUUCCAGGUAUCUUUUAACUCAGCUUUCUGACAGGAUUCAAGAUCACAUGAUGGAAUUUUGGCCAAGCUAUGAUCUACAAACCCAAGUAUCUUGCUUACAUU